CUGGAGACCUGCAUUAAACUGUUAUCUGAUCAGUCUCAAAACCAUAUGAAAGUUCGAGAAUACGAUAAAGCUUUAAUAGGUUACAAUAAGUAAAUUUGGAGUUCUGGAAUAAAGGAAUAUCACCCUCCGGAACAGAUUAUGUGAACACAUCAUACCAUAGAAAUAACAGAGAAUCCAAUAUUCGUUUAAAUAUCUAUAUCAUUAGCAGAGCUUUAUACAUAAAUAAUGUCAAUGUUUAUUGAUUAAAAUUUAUUCAUGGUGUUAACCAAACAUUAUCCACUUAAUUUAUUAUUUUAUUUUAUUUCCUAUUAACGCAUGUAAAUUUCCAAUGUAAGUAUUUUCGAUACAGAUGAUCAAAUAUGUCAAUUUUAACAUAAAGAUUAUGUCAAAUAAAACAGGCAAGGGGAGGAAUUUUUUAAAACACAUGAUCGUAGACCGUUACUAUUCACUUGGUAAUGCUUUCAUUUACCUAUACAUAUAUGUAUAUAUAAAAAUUCUUCUUUCGGUUCAAUGUCGCGUUGUUUGGCUGGUAGAAUGUUUUCAGAUCUUUUAGUGUUUCUUAAUUGUUCCAAUUAUCUAUUUAUCUAUCAACUAAGCUGAUAUGAAUGUAUAAUAUAGUAAAGAAGUAUAAAUA
rnacentral:misc_RNA from 1 species